UGGGGAAUCUUGCGCAAUGGGCGAAAGCCUGACGCAGCCAUGCCGCGUGGAUGAUGAAGGUCUUAGGAUUGUAAAAUCCUUUCACCGGGGACGAUAAUGACGGUACCCGGAGAAGAAGCCCCGGCUAACUUCGUGCCAGCAGCCGCGGUAAUACGAAGGGGGCUAGCGUUGCUCGGAAUUACUGGGCGUAAAGGGCGCGUAGGCGGACAGUUAAGUUGGGGGUGAAAGCCCGGGGCUCAACCUCGGAAAUGCCUUCAAUACUGGCUGUCUUGAGUACGGGAGAGGUGAGUGGAACUCCGAGUGUAGAGGUGAAAUUCGUAGAUAUUCGGAAGAACACCAGUGGCGAAGGCGACUCACUGGCCCGUUACUGACGCUGAGGCGCGAAAGCGUGGGGAGCAAACAGG
rnacentral:rRNA from 1 species